rnacentral:pre_miRNA from 1 species
CAAGUACUCCCUCCGUCCGAAAAUACUUGUCAUCAAAAUGGAUUAAAAAAAUGUAUCUAGAACUAAUAUACAUUUAGAUACAUCCCCUUUUAUUCAUUUUGAUGACAAGUAUUUCCGGACGGAGGGAGUACUAC